rnacentral:piRNA from 1 species
UAAAGCUAUCAGAAGGAACCCUGACAC